AACGAACGCUGGCGGCGUGCCUAACACAUGCAAGUCGAACGGAAUUAAGGGGCUUGCUCCUUAAUUUAGUGGCGCACGGGUGAGUAACGCGUAGAUAAUCUGCCCGACGAUCUGGGAUAACACUUCGAAAGGGGUUCUAAUUCCGGAUAAGCCCACGUGGUUUUUGGACCGGGCGGGAAAAGGGGGGGACCUUCGGGCCUUCUGUCGUCGGAGGACUCGGGGUACCAUUAGCUAGUUGGUAGGGUAAUGGCCUACCAAGGCUACGAUGGUUAGCUGGUCUGAGGGGAUGAUCAGCCACACUGGAACUGAGACACGGUCCAGACUCCUACGGGAGGCAGCAGUGGGGAAUUUUGCGCAAUGGGCGAAGGCCUGACGCAGCAACGCCGCGUGAGUGAUGAAGGCUUUCGGGUCGUAAAGCUCUGUCAGGGGGAAAGAAGUGUAUUGUGGCUAAUAUCCACGAUACUUGACGGUACCCCCAAAGGAAGCACCGGCUAACUCCGUGCCAGCAGCCGCGGUAAAAC
rnacentral:rRNA from 1 species